rnacentral:rRNA from 1 species
GAUGAACGCUGGCGGCGUGCCUAAUACAUGCAAGUCGAGCGAACAGACGAGGAGCUUGCUCCUCUGACGUUAGCGGCGGACGGGUGAGUAACACGUGGAUAACCUACCUAUAAGACUGGGAUAACUUCGGGAAACCGGAGCUAAUACCGGAUAAUAUAUUGAACCGCAUGGUUCAAUAGUGAAAGACGGUUUUGCUGUCACUUAUAGAUGGAUCCGCGCCGCAUUAGCUAGUUGGUAAGGUAACGGCUUACCAAGGCAACGAUGCGUAGCCGACCUGAGAGGGGGAUCGGCCACACUGGAACUGAGACACGGUCCAGACUCCUACGGGAGGCAGCAGUAGGGAAUCUUCCGCAAUGGGCGAAAGCCUGACGGAGCAACGCCGCGUGAGGGAUGAAGGUCUUCGGAUCGUAAAACUCUGUUAUUAGGGAAGAAAAAAUGUGUAAGUAACUAUGCACGUCUUGACGGUACCUAAUCAGAAAGCCACGGCUAACUACGUG